rnacentral:lncRNA from 1 species
UUCCCCCAAAAUCCCCCCAAAAAUCCCCCAAAAUUCCCAAAAAUCCACAAAAAUCCCCCAAAAUUCCCCAAAAAUUCCCAAAAAAUCCCCCAAAAUUUACCAAAAUUCCCAAAAAUUCCCCAAAACCCCCCCAAAAUCCCCAAAAACCCCCCAAAAUCUCCCCAAAAUUCCCCAAAACCCCCCAAAAUCUCCCCAAAAUUCCCCUCCCCAGGUGCUGACGGUGGCGGCCACGGAGCCCCUGACCCUGGAGCACUCCAGACCCCCCCAAAAUUCCGGGACCCCCCAAAAUUCCGGGACCCCCCAAAAUUCCGGGGCCCCCCCGGAAGCUGGGAGGCCCCAAAACCCGGCCUGGAGCCCGAAUGCCGGGAAUUUGGAGGUGGAUUUUGGGAGGAUUUACGAAUUCCUGGCCAGGAUCGGAGCGGGGGGGGAGGGGCCCCCCCUGCCCCCCGCAGAGUCCGCCGUGCUUUUGGCCCUGCUGGGAUCGCUGCGGGCGCAGCUGGGAGCGCUGGGAGCACUGGGAGCACUGGGAUCGCUCCGGAAUCACUUCCGGGGGCUCUGGGGGUCCCUGCGGGGCCCCUGCCCCCCCCUCAACCCCUUCCUGCUGCCACUGGCCUUACUGGGAGCACUGGGACGGGGGGCCUGAGGGGGGGAGGGGCGCAAUUCACGGGGGGUUUGGGGGGGAAAAUCCCGGAGAGAAUUCCUGGGAAUCCUCGGGAAAAUUCCUGAAAAAAUUCCCAGAAAAUUCCCCCGAAAUUCCCAAGAAUUCCAAAAAAAUUACCAGAAAAUUCCCAAAAAUUCCCAAAAAAUUCCCAAAAAAAUUCCCAAGAAAUUCCAAAAAAAUUCCCAAAAAAAUUCCCCCGAAAUUCCCAAGAAAUUCCAAAAAAAUUCCCAAAAAUUCUCCCAAAAAUUCCCAAAAAUUCCCCCAAAAAUUCCCCCAAAAAAUUCCCAAGGAAUCCCCGAAAUCCUGGGAAUUCACCCCAGAAAAAAUCCCGGGAAAAUUCUGCCCCAGGGGGGGAGGGGAAAUUUUUAAAGGGGAUGCGGGGAAUGCGGCGGUGAAAGGGUUAAAAUUCCCCAAAAAAAUUCCCAAAAAAUUCCCCCAAAAAUUCCAAAAAAAUUCCCAAAAUUCCCCCCAAAAUUAA